rnacentral:snoRNA from 1 species
AAGACUGUAUUUUCAGGAAUCAUUUCUAUAGUUUUUUUUUUUGGAAGUGUGUUUUGAAAGUGUUUGUCUCCCAACCCGCGAUGAUGAGCUGUAAUGCUUCUUUCUGAGAGUGAAUCAAGAGCAGAACUGUGGUUGUAGUCACUAUAUGUCGUUGAAAAGCAUUCAUAUUGUUUCUGGCAGUAUUGGAGAAGAGUAUGAUCUGAGUGGU